GCCCGGGUGGCGGAAUGGCAGACGCGGAGGUCUCAAAAACCUUUGUCGAGAGACGUGUGGGUUCGACUCCCACCCCGGGCACCA
rnacentral:tRNA from 2 species